AGAUUGAACGCUGGCGGCAUGCCUUACACAUGCAAGUCGAACGCGAAAGCGGGGCAACCCGCAAGUAGAGUGGCGAACGGGUGAGUAACACAUCGGAACGUACCCAGUAGCGGGGGGAUAACCUCUCGAAAGAGAAGCUAAUACCGCAUACGACCUACGGGUGAAAGAGGGGGAUCGCAAGACCUCUCACUAUUGGAGCGGCCGAUGUCGGAUUAGCUAGUUGGCGGGGUAACGCCCACCAAGGCUACGAUCCGUAGCUGGUCUGAGAGGACGACCAGCCACACUGGAACUGAGACACGGUCCAGACUCCUACGGGAGCAGCAGUGGGGAAUUUGGACAAGUGGGCGCAAGCCUGAUCCAGCCAUGCCGCGUGAGUGAAGAGGCCUUGGGUUAGUAAGCUCUUCGGCGGGACGAACGGUCCGUAGUUAACACCGUCGACUAAUCGACGGUACCCGUAGAACGAAGCCGACCGACGUAAC
rnacentral:rRNA from 1 species